rnacentral:rRNA from 1 species
ACGGGUGCGUAACACGUAUGCAACCUACCCUUUACAGGCGGAUAGCUCGGGGAAACUCGAAUUAACCCGCCGUAAUAUAAUUGAAUGGCAUCAUUUGAUUAUUAGAUCUACGGAGGUAAAGGAUGGGCAUGCGUCUGAUUAGUUAGUUGGCGGGGUAACGGCCCACCAAGACGAUGAUCAGUAGGGGAACUGAGAGGUUGAUCCCCCACACUGGCACUGAGAUACGGGCCAGACUCCUACGGGAGGCAGCAGUAGGGAAUAUUGGUCAAUGGAUGGAAGUCUGAACCAGCCAUGCCGCGUGCAGGAAGAAGGCCUUCUGGGUUGUAAACUGCUUUUGCCAGGGGAUAAAAUGACCUUGCGAGGUUAAUUGAAGGUACCUGGUGAAUAAGCCACGGCUAACUACGUGCCAGCAGCCGCGGUAAUACGUAGGUGGCAAGCGUUGUCCGGAUUUAUUGGGUUUAAAGGGUGCGUAGGCGGCUUAUUAAGUCAGUGGUGAAAUACUCUAGCUCAACUAGAGGGGUGCCAUUGAUACUGAUGAGCUUGAGUACAGAUGAGGUAGGCGGAAUUGACGGUGUAGCGGUGAAAUG